AACAAACGCUGGCGGCGUGCCUAAUACAUGCAAGCCGAACGGGGAAAGCUUUCGGGUGAGUACUAGUGGCGCACGGGUGAGGAACGCGUGGAUAAUCUGCCUUAGAGUGGGGGAUAACUAGUCGAAAGAUUAGCUAAUACCGCAUAAGACCACAGGAGCUGCGGCUCAAGGGGUCAAAGGUUUUUCGCUCUAAGAUGAGUCCGCGUAAGAUUAGCUAGUUGGUGAGGUAACGGCUCACCAAGGCGACGAUCUUUAACUGGUCUGAGAGGAUGAUCAGUCACACUGGAACUGAGACACGGUCCAGACUCCUACGGGAGGCAGCAGUAGGGAAUAUUGCACAAUGGAGGAAACUCUGAUGCAGCGACGCCGCGUGAGUGAUGAAGGCCUUCGGGUCGUAAAGCUCUGUCGCAGGGGAAUAACACAAUGAAUGUACCCUGUAAGAAAGGAUCGGCUAACUUCGUGCCAGCCGCCGCAGUAAGAC
rnacentral:rRNA from 1 species